rnacentral:rRNA from 1 species
CAGCAGCCGCGGUAAUACGUAGGUCCCGAGCGUUGUCCGGAUUUAUUGGGCGUAAAGGGAGCGCAGGCGGUUUAGUAAGUCUGAAGUUAAAGGCAUUGGCUCAACCAAUGUAUGCUUUGGAAACUGUUAGACUUGAGUGCAGAAGGGGAGAGUGGAAUUCCAUGUGUAGCGGUGAAAUGCGUAGAUAUAUGGAGGAACACCGGUGGCGAAAGCGGCUCCCUGGUCUGUCACUGACGCUGAGGCUCGAAAGCGUGGGUAGCGAACAGGAUUAGAUACCCCCGUAGUCCCUGUCUCUUAUACA